GGAGCAGAAGCUGCAGGUGAACUGCACUCUGCUGAGCUAUCCGCAGCUGCUUAAUGGAGUUUGGUUCUGCCAGCUGCCUCUCCUAUGUGCUGGCCCGGGGUGGGAGUUUCCUGCAGUGCUGUCUGAAAAGCAGCAGUCAAUGGAUCCAUUAUUAAGAAAGACUGGAGGAAUAAAGCAGCAAAGAGUGAUAAACCUUCACAGAGUUCAAUUUGCUUACAGGCAAUGCAACAAGCAAAACUGUACUUUUUCAAGCCUAUUUCCAUUUUAUAAUAAUUUUAUUUAUGUGACAGAUAAC